rnacentral:rRNA from 1 species
AUUGAACGCUGGCGGCAGGCCUAACACAUGCAAGUCGAACGAGUGGCGGACGGGUGAGUAAUGUCUGGGAAACUGCCUGAUGGAGGGGGAUAACUACUGGAAACGGUAGCUAAUACCGCAUACCAUCAGAUGUGCCCAGAUGGGAUUAGCUUGUUGGUGGGGUAACGGCUCACCAAGACGACGAUCCCUAGCUGGUCUGAGAGGAUGACCAGCCACACUGGAACGUAGACACGGUCAAGACUCCUACGGGAGGAAGCAGUGGGGAAUAUUGCACAAGGGGCGCAAGCCUGAUACAGCCAUGCGGCGUGGAUGAAGAAGGCCUUCGGGUUGUAAAGUACUUUCAGCGGGGAGGCGUUACCCGAAGAAGAAGCACCGGCUAACUCCGUGCCAGCAGCCGCGGUAAUAC